UCCUAGUAUUCAAGGUUAGGGUUUCCCGACUACUUUUUUCUUUAGAUGGUUUUGUCACGUUAUUCUGGCGAAUACGCGUUGCAUUUUCAACUUAAUGUAAUUAGUUAUGCUUUAGCGCAAGUUACUCAAAUUGAAUAUUUAAUUCAUAACAAUUUUUUACCAAAGUGUUUCCAAGCUCCGAGUUCGUAUAAUAUUGCUGCUUGUACAUUAGAAGAUAAGGCUUGGGGGCUUUUCUGUACACACUCAAGUAAUAAAAGCAAUUAAUAUUAUCGCUCAUAGUUCCCGCCAAAAAUACUUUAAACAAAAUGGGGGUUCAAUUAGUGCUUCGAGCUGAUUCUCUGCCCGGUUUGUGAUUUCAAAAGGCUACCCGGUAAAACUUGUUUGCGCGAGAUGAUGUCUAUAAAAAGGCCUUUAUAAAAGCAAGUCACAUCACUUUUCAACGCUCAAAGACAAGCUCAGUGCACAGUAAAUACCUCUUUGCUAUGGAAAACCAAAAGGUUUCAAGGACAUCUAAGAAGUCGCACCAGACCCCUGCACCAACGACGACGCUUGGGCUUUUAGAGGGUUCUGAUAACUUUGAACAAGUCCCUACUGCUGAAUAUUCGCAAGAAAGGGAUCUACAUAUGAUGGAUGAGAAUGGAUAAGAAUGGAUUAAAGCGACGGAAGUGACUCUGAAGAUUAUUUUAAGAAUGACUCUGACGAGGAGUUUUGGAAUGCGCUACAUGGAUUAUCAACAUUUAACAACGACAACAAUUGUAGUGAGAACGAUUAUAUGGGAGACUCGGACGAGGAAUUCUGGGAUGCUAUGGAUGAGCCAUCUAACGAUGAAUAAAGAUGAAGAUUGUCUGUUAGCUGAGAGGCACACAGGAAGAGGAAUGGAGAUUUGGAGGGCUGAAGACUGCUACAUGCUUAAGAAAAUAUCUUCUUGGCGUGUGCAUAAAUUCAAUACAACGUCGACCGAUUACCUUCUUAAGGUAACACCCCAACCUGAGGGUUUAGCUCUGUUAGAUCAGUUAUCCCGUGUUUUCGUUACGUUAGUUAGUGAAAUCACUGCUAACAUGCAGGGGAACGAUUUAGUACGUUUUGUUUUGCGAAGUAAUUCCCUAGACUAUCCAAUUUCGUUGCCUUUCAUGCCUAGACUGGAGUUAAAUGCCAAUCGUAUCAUGAUCGAAGUAGAGAGGGUCUUACAAUCUAAUGGAAGCGUGAACAUAGAAGAUGGUAUGAAUAUUAAUAUUCAUAUAAGUAUGCCAUUAGGGGGAAGUCCGUUAGUAAAAAGAAACAUUAGAAACCUU